rnacentral:lncRNA from 1 species
UUGACCGCGCAUCCAUCCCUUGACUAGCCUGACAAAGGAGCCUACUUUAGCGGAGUUCUCCUAUAGUGGUGGCUGCUCUCCCCCAAGAGAAGAGAUUUUUGGGAAAGAAAAGGCCCUCAAGAAGCAUCGGUAAGCCUAUCAAUUAGAAGUAGAGCUGGGCAGGCAAACUCAUAGCCGAGGAGGUCAUACUUGGAAAGUCAAAUAGAGGAGUUGAGCGUGCCUCUAUGAGUGUCAAAGUUGAGAUGCGCAGGCGUGCAAGAUACGUUAGCUGUGUAGCGUAGGUAGGAGCGAGACAUAUAGGAAGGUUUUGCAAGGUAAGGGACAUAUAACAUAUAGGAAGCCGACGGUUGGUUUUGAUUCUACUCUACAAACGAAUUUCUUUGUAGUUUUUCUCUCGUUGACAACGAAAGAAAAUUCUCUUUCUUUUUCAUUCCUUUCCUCCUUAGCGAGACAAGAGAAUUUCUUGUUUUUCGCUAGUGGGAUGGGAAAAAAAUGAUCUUGUUCAUGCCGCCAAGGCAAAAAAAGUCUCAAUGCCAUCUGAUGGGCAAAAGCCAUUCCGUUUGUUUCGAAAAUCGUCGAACUCGAACAUUGCCUCGAUCACUAAAAGAUCUUUUUUUUUUUACAAUGACAGGACGCAGAUUAGACUCGUCGGGUAGUUUUCCAUAAGGUUUCUUUUUUGAAAGAAAGAUUCUUUUCAUUGGUUGAAACAAAAAAAAAGUAGAGUUAGCUAAAUCUUCCUAAAGAAGAUUGAAAUCAGCGUCCGACAACACGAUUCUAUCUUUCUCCAAAGAGCUAUCGUCCCAAUAUCGCCACGUUUAACUGUCGUAUUAAAAUUGUGAUAAGAAUCAUUCUCAUUUGUCGUUUUUGUCCAACUCAGAGAGGGGCCAAAAGCGGGGCUCUUUCUUUGAAAAGGGACCGAGCUUUUCUUUUGUCUUCCUUUGAUUUGGAAGAAGGUCUUGGUGAGAAAGAGCAGAAUGUGAGAGCUCCCUUUGUGCUAAUUGCGGAAAAGGCGCGUCUCCGGUUCAACUGCCCUUUGCCUGUUAUACCAAAAAAGCGCAUAGGUUCAUUCCGUGUGUGGAUCGAGCUCCGGUCUAGUUGACGUUUCCUGUGAUCGAGACUGUGGUCUACGUGUGUGGUACGUUGGCUAUCGUGGUUCGGUUAGGGUGGCCAGUGCUCUUUCUGAACAUAAAAAGUCAAUUGCCGUCAUGCGGUCGGUGCGGCCUAAAGAGCAUCAACCCACCUUGCGCGUGACUUGCUUGCGUUUCACCAGUAACUCCGCGGAAACGUUCGGUCCUCUGCGCCAUCACUGAUUGCGUCCGCACUUUUAAAGAUAACGCUUCGCCUUAAUUAAAAAAAGUCAAAGCGCUUGGCAUUGGCUUGCGUAUAGCUCCAUCCUACUAACCGGAAAUCAGGAUUGACUUCUGUUUCUAAGUAUACCCAUUCCUGGGGCCCUGGGAGGGUGGUCGGAUCACUAGACAACUUUUCGUACAGUUGCAUCAGUAGCUAUUUCAUUCGUUAUAGGUAAUUUCGUUCGCCUUUGUGGGCUUUGAAGCGUCAUAGAGCUUUCCGCUUCGGGUAAAGGUCCACUUUGUCCCCCAAUAGGGGUGUUCUGGCCCAUGAUCAGUUCGGUUGCGUAGUGUUAGCUCAGGUGUUGUCUACCCUGGUCGGAGCUGGAAUUAGAACUUUGUUUAAAUGGGUCCAGUCCUUUCGGGUCCGACGUUUCUCUGAAAUUCUGCCUUUGGUUAGCAGGAAAGGCUCACCUGGCUUGAUCAUGCUUGCUUGGUCGACCUCUCCUGAUUUAUCUGUCAGUAAUGGAAGCAUCCAUGGGUUGUGUCCUUGGUCAGCACGAUGGAGGAGUGAGCCUAGUGCUUCGUUUGAUGGAAGCACGAGGGAACGGGUUUCAUCGGCAGGCUUUUUUUGGGGCGCUUCCGUUACAACGACUUCACUCUGAGGCCUCUCACCUACCCCAUGAUUCUCCCUGGACGCUUCAUCGUGAUUAUUGCCCGGUGAGUGCGAAGUCAAAGUGGGAAAAAAAAGAUUCGCUCUAGCCCAUUCUAACAGGGCUUGGGGUGGAAUAGACCGACUUGAUGUAAUGGAUGGCACUUGAUUAAUUAAUAGGGCACGAGAGGAUACUACCUUUAUUCAUUCAUUUAUUCACCUCCGCCCCUACCCCCGUUGGGGGGUCCUGAUCUCGAUCAAAUGCAACUGACUAUUCUUUUUCGGUUUGAGGCGAUCGGUAAUUAUUUUGAUGAUGGGAGUGGGUCGGCCAUGGAAAGCAUUCUGGUUUCUUCUUCAGUGAGGCAUUAACGAAUCUCACAUUGAUUGAAGUGUUUGAUCUUCCCCGGUCAGUCAAAAGAAGAGGAGUAAGUUGAUCGGGGAGAGGCAGGUGGUAGAGGCGCUGAACUACAUUACAUGGAUGGCGGGAGGAAACAAAUGUCUGAAGCGGGUCGGUUUCUCGGUUCCUCAUCUGCUUAUUCGUGAAUCAGAAGGUUGGUUCAGAUGCGGGUCAGAAGAGGAGAUUUAUUUCCAAGGAGGAUAGGGAAUUGGGGAAGGCUUCAAAGGCUGGUCUACUUACUGCUCGAUGAGGGUAAUCAGGUCGGGUCAGAAGGUGGUCCGAUUCCUCUUCAUUGGUUUCAAAUCCAGCCAAUGAACAUUUGGUUGCAGGGGAGGAUAGGUAAACAUCUUUCUCUCUGAAGGCGAUAGGUUUCAUUCCAUCUUGAGUCUUCCAUCCCUCCGGAGUCAACUACUGUAUGGAAGGAUCCUCCGUCCUGAGUGGCAUUAGAACCCACCCAAUAGUAGGAGGAGGAGGAGCCUUUGGUUCGUGCACUUUACUCGAGCUUAAUAAUCUGCCUUUACCGGACGGACGGGAUUUCUCGGCGCCAUGAAAAAAUUAUGAUAGGGCUCGAUGACUACGUCUUGUGGAUGCUACCUACAAGGGAAGAGAAUCCACGCUUCCGCCAGUGAGUUCUUUUCUGCGGGAUUCCUUUCUGUUGCUCUGUAUCCUAUGGAGAUGGAUUGAUAUGGAGGGUUGGUUUCCACUUCUUACCUAUUCACUUCUACUUGAACCGUUCAACGAGCGUUGUCACGAUCCAAAGGAAGAUCUCCUGGCUCAGCACUACUCAACUUGUGGAGUGCCACAUACCCUGCUGACAACAACUGCAGCAGUCACAAGUCUGGUCCCCUACCUCACAAAGUCGCUUGAUGGCCGAAGCACUCCCAAGGCGAAUAGUGCCCUAGGGGCCGACCCGACACCGACCGGCGGAUACUCCCGCGCAGCAAACUCCGCAAGUCGGUAUUCGUCUACGAGAGGCGCACUCCUAUGCCUUUCGAGGCUUCUCAGUGUAAGAAAGCCUCACCUCUUUCUGUUACUGAACACACACUUUUGAUCCACUAGAACAUGUAGAUCUACUAGACGACAAACAAAGAAGUUGGUAGCAACAGAACUGCCUCUAAACCACUAGAGCACCUACAAAAAUCAGUCUACCUACGCUACAUUGUACCUUCUAUUAAUUAAGAUUGCCGUUUUAGGCCAUCUUAAUGAAAGCCUGGGAAUUGUGUGUGCACCAUUAACCUAUGCCUCUCGAUUUAGCGAGAGGGCCUGCGAGCGGCCUUGGUAGCAAGGCCAACCCUGGACCUGCUCAGAUGAGCCUCCAGGAGCGAAGGCAGGCCGCUGAGGCCGCCCACAGAAGGGUUCUGGCCUACAUGGCCGAACAAGACGGAAUAACAGACAGCCAGCUGCAACAAGACCUGCAUUUCCAUGAGGUAUGCUCACUGAUUGAAGAGCUCGCGCUUUCUUCCCGACGAAGACAUCUUUCUCUGAUCCUUGAAUGCUUCCUCGUUGCUUUGCCUUUCGAAGGAUUCCCUUCAGCUUCCGCAAUGAUAUUGUACCCUUUUUUCAAGGAAAUCCCAAUGCUUCUCUUAUUCAGUAGUUCAAUCCGCCUUUGUUACCCCGGAUCCCGCUCUUAAUGAGCCGAAGAGAAGUGCAUGAAAUGGUGGCCAUUGGCCAACAAGUUGCGUAGACUUCAGACCCACUUUGCUUUCACGAUUUGACCUUGACAUUCCAUCAAUGAAUUCAUCUUCCGCUUUGCACCGACCCCAUUCCUCAAGUCCGUGGUCUUCGAUCAUAAACUAUCUCUCCCUCUCGAGACAGUCAGGUUAUUUAUUCCUAAAAUCCAGGUUAGUCAAACUCCAGCUAAAGCGGAAAAGAGUGAAAAGAGGAAAAAACGAGCCUGUCAAUCCUAAGAGUGUGCGUCGAAGCACAAGCUGAGUUUCAAAAUUUGGACUUCUAAGAUGCAAAUCAAACUCAUGUUCCGACAGUCAAAUUUUCUCUUUAGCUUGGACAGUUGGGUAAGCCGAUUGUAUUGUCUUCUUUUCUUCUUUGCCAGUGCAAUCGAUUUAAGAAGCUUGAAAGCCGGUCUCCUGUGUUGUUUCCCAACUAGAAAACAUGUUUGAAACCCUAUACCUUAAAGGGAGGGGGGUCAAAAGGAAAGGGAUAUCACUUCAACUGCUUUUGCUUCCAAGCCGGAGAAGAGAGAUCGAAAGAGCUACCUGAGGCUUGGUUCAACCACUUGACUAGAUAGGAAGAACGACAGAAGCAAGCAGCCUAAAGGGAGAGGGUGAUGUCUCCAUAGGUAGCAAGAAGCGAAUGUCAGUCAAGCGGGCAGGCCUUUGUAUCUAAGGGGGCUUGAAGAGAGAAAGGGUGGAACAGUGCAUACUCCGCCUAACCGGGAAAUCACUCUAAGGUAUUUUAGGCUAAACCAAAUUCCAUCAUGCAAAGCUUAAUAGAAAGAAUUUUUUUUUCUGACUCAAGACAAAAAUGAAACACGGGACUGAAAAAGCAAGGUUGGUUACAUACUCGGGAGGGGCCAUCAACCUGCAAUCGAGAGUGGUUCAGUGAAAUAGACUAUUGUACUGACACAGAGUUGAUCAUACUUUUAGAUGAGAGCUCACACCAGAUUGAAGGGUGUGGAGUUGCCAAGAUGAAUAUGGAAGACGGCACACUGAAAAAGAAGAAUGAUAUGCUGCUAGUACAAAGGAGGAAGAACCUGCUCUCUGUAUCUUCGCAAAAGACGGAUACAAGAUAGAUCUGGAAGAAAUAGUUUCGUGAAGGAUAAUAAGAACGGUUUCAGAAUCGUGGCCAAAGGGCACGAAGAGCUUAGUACCAGUUUCAUGGAGGAUCUUAGAGAGCCUUAGCGGCUGUAUCAGAUACCACACGAGUAUGGCAUGGAAGGUAUAGGUAUGGUCAUCUGAACUUCCAAAGCCUACUGGAACUGAGAAGCAGACGCAUGGUAAUUGGUCUGCCGUUUAUGCCUUGGUUUGGUGUUGUUUGCGAAGCAUGCGCUGUAGGAAAACAGCAUGCAGAGCCCUUUCCCAAGCAGGCAAGAUUGCCAACACACCGGAAGGAGCUGGUCCAUACUGACGCGGACCUAUGAGCGAGGAAGAACUUUGAGGUGCAAGGUAUUUUCUGACUUUCACGGAUGACUUUACUUUUAUACAUAUAAGUAGUCUCGACUUUUUUUUCUGGAAGUUGAAAUCUCGAAAGUUGCCCUAUGUUAGUUGUUCAAAGAAAUGGUUGAGAAGGAAACGGGUUUGCUAUAUUUUUUGUUAAAGAUCUGACAAUGGAGGUGAGUUCUGUUCUAGAGACAGGACUUUCAAAAACAAAAUGGAAUCCGGCCCUUUACACUCCAAAGCUGAAUGGAGUCGCAGAGCGGAAGAACAAAACAAUCGUUGAUAUGGCCAAGUUUAUGUUAAAAGGGCAUGAUGACAGAAAAGAGCAUCUCUAAAUCUUACUGGGGACUGUGGCCUCACGGCAGUCAAUAUUAUUCAUCGGUGUCUGCUGUUGAAUGGCAUAACACCAAAAGAAGCAUGGACAGGCAGAAAGCCUGUGAUUUCACAUCUGAGGACAUUCGGCUGCAAAGCUUAUGUCCGACGUUCCGAAGGAGAAGAGGACCGGAUGACAAAGGUAAGUAAGAAAAUGACCUUAUUAAGUGUGAAGAUUCUAAGGCUUAUCAAUUUUAUACACCUGAAUAAUUGCAGUGUUUGGUUUCAAGAAAUGCAAUACUUAUAGAAUUUUAAUUGAAAAGCCAUCUCUCUUUCUUUACUGACAAGCAAGCCUGAUUGAUGAAGAAGAGGAGAUUGUUGAGCUGUUAAGUACAAGUACGCGUCAUAAGCUUUCAAUUGCAGCCGCUUACUUUAUGAGCUAUUAGGUGCUGCCGCACUACGGAUAUCGUGGCGUGUCCACGCUAUUCUCCCGGCGUUCCAUGUUGCCGCUCAGACCUCCGCUUGUUGGUUUGGUGGUUGUGUGGUAUUUAAUAGAAUUCAACAUGUUGCCGUGCCUCUGUAGCUUUUGUCUUCGCCCUUCGACUUCCGGCUUCGGCUUUUAGACUAAAGUGAUUAAAACAUGCCUUGCCUUCCGCCGCUUUCGGAUAAGACUAAGUAACCUUACCAAAAACCUGACACGCUACGGCCUGACUUUGAAGCCGCAAGCUUACACGUGUAACUCCAAUUAAUCACCAAAGGAUGCUUUCAUAUUGACGUGGUUGUACAGGAAGAGCCCCAAGCCCUACAGACAGGAAGGAGAGGGAGAGGAAAGUAACAGGAAGUCUAAGUCUGAGAGCCCCCCUAAGCCCCAAAGAAAGGGGGAACUCCUAAAAGACACAAAAGAUGUCCGGUUGUUGGUAUCUAUUUUCUGACUUCCAUGUUGCCGUGCUACGAGUCAUUUUAGAUAAAAGGAGCUGUACUGAAAAAGCCCGAAGUGUUAAUGAAAGCCGCACCAUCAACCAAGGCAAAAGCCAGACCUUAAGAAAAUGAAAGCCGGAAAGCCUAUGAAUCUAAAGUGGCAGAAGCUACAGAGGCUAAACAACCCUUGCCCAACUAGAGCGGAACUAUCGCCGGUGCUUAUGAACAUAUUUUUGCAUUCAUUUGAUCUUAUCUAUUGUUGUGAAAGGAGUCUUAAAAAGUGUUCAGUGCAGUGACUCAAAGGAAACCCCAACAAAAAAAUCAUUUCUUUCAAUACUCACUUGUUACGUUAUUGUCAUCUUAUUAGUUAACAAUCCUAAUGAUUGGAUUCAUAUGUUUAAUUCCUGAUAGGAAAUAAAAUAGUAAAAUGAUUAUUCAUGGAAUGACUAUUCAUCUAUUGUAUUUUCAUCAAAUAGGGGGCAAGAAGACUCUAUGGAAAAAUGGUGGUUCAAUUCGAUGUUGUCUAACGAUAAGUUAGAGCAUAGGUGUGGACUAAAUAAAUCAAUGGAUAGUCUUGAUGCUAUUGGGCAUACCAGUGGAAGUGAAGAACCCAUUCUAAAUGGUACGGAGAAAAACAUUCCUAGUCGGAGUGAUAGUGGCAGUUAUAGUUUCAGAAAUGUUGAUUAUUUAUUUGAUAUCAGGGAUAUUUGGAGUUUGAUCUCUGAUGACACUUUUUUAGUUAGGGAUAGUAAUGGUGACAGUUUUUCCGUAUGUUUUGAUAUUGAAAAUCAGAUUUUUGAGAUUGACAAUGAUAGUUCUUUUCUGAGUGAACUAGAAAGUUUUUUUUCUAGUUAUUUAAAUAGUGGGUCUAAGAGAAACAAUCACUACUAUUAUCAUUACAUAUAUGAUACUCAAUCUAGUUGGAAUAAUCACAUUAAUAGUUGCAUUGAUAAUUAUCUUCGUUUUGAAGUCAGUAUUAAUAGUUCCAUUUCGGGCGGUACCGACAAUUACAGUGACAGUUACAUUUAUAGUUUCAUUUGUACUGAAAAUGUAACUGGUAGUGAAAGUGGGAGUUCUGGUAUAAGAACUAGUAAAAAUGGCAGUGAUUUCAAUAUAAGAAGAAGAUCUAAUGAUUUCGGUAGAAAUAAAAAAUACAGACAUUUAUGGGUUCAAUGCGAAAAUUGUUAUGGAUUAAAUUAUAAAAAAUUUUUUAGGUCAAAAAUGAAUAUUUGUGAACAGUGUGGAUAUCAUUUGAAAAUGAGCAGUUCAGAUAGAAUCGAACUUUCGAUUGAUCCGGGGACUUGGGAUCCUAUGGAUGAAGAUAUGGUCUCUAUGGACCCCAUUGAAUUUCAUUCAGAGGGGGAACCCUAUAGAGAUCGUAUCGAUUCUUAUCAAAGAAAGAUAGGUUUAACUGAAGCUGUUCAAACAGGCAUAGGUCAACUAAAUGGUAUUCCCAUAGCAAUUGGGGUUAUGGAUUUUAAGUUCAUGGGAGGUAGUAUGGGAUCCGUAGUAGGCGAGAAAAUCACCCGUUUGAUCGAGUAUGCUACUAAUCGAUCUUUACCUGUCAUUAUUGUGUGUGCUUCUGGAGGAGCGCGCAUGCAAGAAGGAAGUUUGAGUUUGAUGCAAAUGGCUAAAAUAUCUUCCGCUUCAUAUAAUUAUCAAUCAAAUAAAAAUUUAUUCUAUGUAUCAAUCCUUACAUCUCCUACAACCGGUGGAGUAACAGCCAGUUUUGGUAUGUUGGGAGAUGUCAUUGUUGCUGAACCUAAUGCCUACAUUGCAUUUGCGGGUAAAAGAGUAAUUGAACAAACAUUGAAAAAGACAGUACCCGAUGGUUCACAAGCGUCUGAGUAUUUAUUCCAUAAAGGCUUAUUUGACCCAAUUGUACCACGUAAUCCUUUAAAAGGUGUUCUGAGUGAGUUAUUUCAGCUCCACGGUUUCUUUCCCUUGAAUCAAAAUUCAAAAAAUUAAUAAAGUAUAGCACUAAAUUCAGUUAUUUGUAGCGAACAAGUAUUUAGUUCAUCGUAAUCAAAAAAAAACUAAAAAGAAUGGUGUUUUCUUUGAUGACAUAAGUUCUACUUGUAAUAAGAAUUAGAAGUUUCGGGUAAUUACUUUUUAUUUUUUCCUCCAGAUCUAUUUUUUUAUCCUACCUCUAUUCAUGAUUAGUAAUCACAAACCUUCUAUCAACAGGAUAAAAAAGUGAAUUUUUCCCUCCGAAGAAUUAGAAUUAGGGAAAAUAAAAAAUUACUCUGGCCUUCUUACGUAUUAAUAUAGACAAUAAAAAAAAAUAUCGAAAUCAAAAUAAAAAGAAAUAAAUAUAAAAUAGAGAAUAGAAGUUAUUUCUAUAUCUAUCGAUAACCCCCAUUUUUUUAUUUUACUAUGAAUCCCCGUUUGUUGGAUGGAUCGAAUUAGUUAGAGUCGCAAACUCCUAAAAAAAUCUUUUAUUUUCAUAAUAAACUCCUUAUUAGAUUAGAAAGAUAGAAAGAAAUAAGGAUGGGAUAAUAAUAUGAAAAUAAAUUAAUAAAGCGAAUUAUCAUACAUAUUCGUGUAGAAAGAUGAAUAGGUACACUUAUUUUAUUUAGUUCUACAUUCCUUGCACUUAUUAAUUUAUUAUUAACUACUUAUAAAUAUUAAUUUCUAAAUAUUAAUAAUAAAUAAUAUUAAAUAAUAUAAUAUAUUUUUUUAAGUUUAUGAUAUAUACUUAGGAUAGAUAUACUUAUCAUAUCAUAAGAUAUCUUUCUCUUUCUAAUAGAUAGAAAUAUUAAAUCGAGGCACCCAUUCUAUGACAGAUCUCAACUUACCCUCUAUUUUUGUGCCUUUAGUGGGCCUAGUAUUUCCGGCAAUUGCAAUGGCUUCUUUAUCUCUUUAUGUCCAAAAAAAUAAGAUUGUCUAGAUCCGAUGGGACCAAAUCUCAUCAAUUUAUUUCAACACUGGAUCAUAAUACAGAUAUUUAUUUAGUGUAAUAUGGUACGAUAUGUGACUCUUUACGAACACAAAUGAAAGAGCUGUUAUGCAUGCGGAUACAUGAUAUCCGCAUAAAUGCAUGUAUAUGCAGGUAUAGCUGGUUAAAUUAAAAACGGAUCGGCGAAUAUUUUAUUUAAAUGGAAAGUCAAUGUAUCUAACAAAUUACUUCUAACGGUUUACAUCAGAAUAGUGCUAGUUAAUGAAAGUUACUUCGGGAUCAAGAAAGUAAAAUUCAUUUUGGUUAUUCUCUCAAUUCCAAUCGAAUGCAACUGGAUCUAGUAGAGUAUGAAUUGGCGAUCAGAACAUAUAUGGAUAGAACCUAUAAUGGGGUCUCGAAAAACAAGUAAUUUUUUCUGGGCCUGUAUCCUUUUUUUAGGUUCACUAGGAUUCUUAGUGGUUGGAACUUCCAGUUAUCUUGGUAGGAAUCUGAUAUCCGUAUUUCCAUCUCAGCAAAUUAUUUUUUUUCCACAAGGGAUCGUGAUGUCUUUCUAUGGGAUCGCAGGUCUAUUCAUUAGCUCCUAUUUGUGGUGCACAAUUUCAUGGAAUGUAGGUAGUGGUUAUGACCGAUUCGAUAGAAAGGAAGGAAUAGUGUGUAUUUUUCGUUGGGGAUUUCCUGGAAUAAAUCGUCGCAUCUUCCUUCGCUUAUUUAUGAGAGAUAUCCAAUCCAUCAGAAUGGAGGUUAAAGAGGGUCUUUAUCCUCGUCGUGUCCUUUAUAUGGAAAUUAGAGGCCAAGGAGCCAUUCCCUUGACUCGUACUGAUGAGUAUUUUACUCCACGAGAAAUUGAACAAAAAGCUGCCGAAUUGGCCUAUUUCUUGCGCGUACCAAUUGAAGUAUUUUGAAAUGAACUGAAGAAAAAAUUGAAAAAAAACUUGCUAAUUUCCUUUUUAAUACAACCGUCGACUCUAUCUGAUAUUUCUCUGAAGUACGAGUUCUAUAAAAAGGUAUUGAACCCAUGGAUCUAUUUCCUAUUUUUGUCUAAUAAUUUAGAUCUCGGAUCUAUAAGGAAAGGAAUAUAGAAAUAGAAUAAGGGUCCUUUUAGGAUAAAAAUGAAAAAAAAAGAAAGCCCGGGUCUCCCUCCCAUAUAUUUCAUCCAACAUAUUUUUGCCCUGGUGGGUCUCUCUCUCAUUUAAUAAAUGUCUGGAACCUUGGGUUACUAAUUGGUGGAAUACCGGGAAAUCCGAAACUUUUUUGAAUGAUAUUCAAGAGAAAAAUGUUCUAGAAAGAUUCAUAGAAUUGGAAGAACUAUUCCUCUUGGAUGAAAUGAUAAAGGAGUACCCGGAGACGCAUAUACAAAAACUUCGUAUAGGAAUACACAAGGAAACGAUACAAUUGGUCAAAACACACAAUGAAUAUCAUCUCCAUAUCAUUUUUGAUUUCUCGACAAAUAUAAUUUGUUUCGCUAUUCUAAGUGGUUAUUUUAUUCUGGGUAAUGAAGAACUUGUCAUUCUUCAUUCUUGGAUUCAGGAAUUCCUCUAUAACUUAAGUGACACAAUAAAAGCUUUUUUUAUUCUUUUAGUUACUUAUUUAUGGAUCGGAUUUCAUUCGACCCAUGGUUGGGAACUCAUGAUUGGUUCGGUCUACAACGAUUUUGGAUUGGUUCAUAACGAUCAAAUUAUAUCUAGUCUUGUUUCCACUUUUCCAGUUAUUCUAGAUACAAUUGUGAAAUAUUGGAUCUUCUAUUAUUUAAAUCGUGUAUCUCCUUCACUUGUAGUCAUUUAUCAUUCAAUGAAUGAAUGAAGAACUCAUUUGAUCUCCUGAUAUUAAUCAAAUCAGAAUCUUUCUUCGUAUAUAAAGAAAACAUUUUCAAUCUUACUUAAUUCUUUAUACUUCUAGUUCUUCAAGGUAUUCGUCCUAUAUUCCAGUACAAUUAUCCCAGUACAAUGACAGACUCGUGUAUAGGGAACUAUACUAGCUACCUAUCUAAUUUAUUGUAGAAAUUCCGGGAUCAAUGAUUGGACAUGCAAAAUAGAAAUACUUUUUCUUGGGUAAAGGAACAGAUGACUCAAUCGAUUUCUAUAUCGAUCAUGAUAUAUGUAAUAACUCGGGCAUCUAUUUCAAAUGCAUAUCCCAUUUUUGCGCAGCAGGGUUAUGAAAACCCACGAGAAGCAACUGGACGAAUUGUAUGUGCCAAUUGCCAUUUAGCUAAUAAGCCCGUGGAUAUUGAAGUUCCGCAAGCCGUGCUUCCUGAUACUGUAUUUGAAGCAGUUGUUCGAAUCCCUUAUGAUAUGCAACUGAAACAAGUUCUUGCUAAUGGUAAAAAGGGGGCUUUGAAUGUAGGGGCUGUUCUUAUUUUACCCGAGGGAUUCGAAUUAGCCCCCCCCGAUCGUAUUUCUCCCGAGGUGAGAGAAAAGAUGGGAAAUCUGUCUUUUCAGAGUUAUCGUCCCAAUAAAAGAAAUAUUCUUGUGAUAGGUCCUGUUCCCGGUCAGAAAUAUAGUGAAAUCGCCUUUCCCAUUCUUUCCCCCGACCCUGCUACGAGGAAAGACGUUCACUUCUUAAAAUAUCCCAUAUAUGUAGGUGGGAACAGAGGAAGGGGUCAGAUUUAUCCUGAUGGGAGCAAGAGUAACAAUACAGUCUAUAAUGCUACAUCAGCAGGUAUAGUAAGCAAAAUAGUACGUAAAGAAAAAGGAGGAUAUGAAAUAUCCAUAGUUGAUGUAUCGGAUGGACAUCAAGUGAUUGAUAUUAUACCUCCAGGACCAGAACUUCUUGUUUCAGAGGGUGAAUCCAUCAAGCUUGAUCAACCAUUAACAAGCAAUCCCAAUGUAGGAGGGUUUGGUCAGGGAGAUGCAGAAAUAGUGCUUCAAGAUCCAUUACGUGUCCAAGGCCUUUUGUUCUUCUUGGCAUCUGUUAUUUUGGCACAAGU